UACGGGGGGGGUAAGCGUUGUUCGGAAUUACUGGGCGUAAAGGGCUCGUAGGCGGCCAACUAAGUCAGACGUGAAAUCCCUCAGCUUAACUGGGGAACUGCGUCUGAUACUGGAUGGCUUGGAUUCGGGAGAGGAAUGCGGAAUUCCUGGUGUAGCGGUGGAAUGCGCAGAUAUCAGGAGGAACACCAAUAGCGAAGGCAGCUCGCUGGGACGUUACUGACACUGAGGCGCGAAAGCGUGGGGAGCGAACAGG
rnacentral:rRNA from 1 species